UGAGAGGAGUAAGAACCAACACCUUUUACUGCUACAACUGCAAAGAACUGGAUUUUCCUAGGAACUUGUGAGCUCCAAAGGAAGCAGUUGACCCAAGCAAGUUCUCCAGAGAUUAGGUCAAGAUGAAAGGCCAAGCAAGAGUGGCAAGACAUUGGGGGACAAGCAACAGUGAGGGAUCACUUCCACUCCUCGCCUGAAGACGUUUGCAGGAGACCUGUGAAGACUAUCACCAAACAUGGUUGGGCUUGCUGAGCUGAACUAUGGCUGUGGGGACUCAGCUUUUCUCCUCUCAACUCUGGUAUCCUGGCAGAGGGCUUGGAAUCUGGCUACAUAGACCUGGACACAGACUUCUGUGGUCACACAGCUAGACAGGGAAGCAUAAAUAAUAUCAGAGAUGUCACCAGAGAACAGGGAGAGAGGGGAGCAUUGGGCUACAGAUACCACAUUUAUCUUGUUCUGGGUGGCACACAUCACCAGCAUUUAGAGGCCAAUAUUGUUUACAUCUAUUUUCUUUGAUUUGAAUUCUUUGGAAUUGCAUAGCUUCAUUGUUAAUUGUUUGUUUUUGUCAGUGAUAAACUAAAGGCUUCUUUAACUUUGAGAAAAGUUUCUUGCAAACAUGAACUUUUUCUCUUGAGGUAGAACAGAGGCAGCAGCUGUGAGGUAGCUAGUGGUCACUGUAGGGGACGUGGCUCUAUGUCUUCAUCUCUACAGAAUGUUCUUUGGAAUACAUUGGCUAGGGACCUUGUGCACAGCCCAGGAUGGUGAAGAUUCAAAAGCUGCCUUCCUCUAGAGUAGUUUUUCUCAACUUGUGGAUCAUGAUCCCUUUGGAGGUCUGCACAUCAGAUAUCCUGUAUAAUCAGAUAUUUAUAUUAUGAUUCAUGACAGUAGCAAAAUUACAGUUAUGAAGUAGUAAUGAAAAUAAUUUUAUGGUUGGAUGUCACCACAACAUGAGGAACAGUAUUAAAGAGUCACAGCAUUAGGAGGGGGUGAGAAUCAUGGUUCUAGAGCCCUCUCUCUGGGGGAAUAGAGGUGUCCUAAGUGAAUGUGUGUUGUUUGACAUAAACAUGUGCAUGUCCCCUUGAAGGAGUCAGUGCCUCAGACCCACCAGAAUGGUCUUUGUGCAAAUGCUGACAAAAACUGUACAAAAAGUUUCAAUUGCAGCUUCCUCCUGGAUGUAAAUAGCCUGAGACAGUUCUCUCAUAAAUGUUCUACUAAGACUAGUUAAACCCGCCACCUCCUUAUUCAACUGUACACAGUAGUAGAUCUGCCUCCUCGUUCAGCUGUAUACAGUAAGCCUGUCACCCUAAUUCAGAUGUGUAAAAGAAAUGGGCUGAGUUUCUGGGUCACUGUGCCUCCAUCAGAGUGCUCAGCCCACCUGAUCCCAGGGCUCUGUACAUUUGUCUGUCCUUUCUUUAUUCUCUGUUGUCUGAUUUGUCCAAUCACUGAGCCCCACAGAGCUCUUCUUGAUGAUGGAGGACAUUAGCUGCAUUCGUGCAGUUUUCUUGUACAGCAACAAAAUAGAAAUGAUGUUGUUGAUGAGGAGGAAGAGGAAUAGGAAGAAGAGGAGCAUCUAUCUUUAUUUAAUAGAUAACACGUGGUAAAGUUUGAAGUAUACACAUGCCAUUUAAUAGCCAUCAAAAUCCUGAGGAAAAUACCACUAUUAUUUUCAUGUUAACAAUGUGGGAACAAGUUGAGAGAAACUGUAACCACAUAAUGAUUAGGUCAUACCAGAUGAAAUCGCCAAUAUUCAGUCAUGUUUGAUGAAAAUGUCAACUUCAUAUGGUUCAACUUUGUGUGAUAUAUUGCAGAAUCGGCUUUAAAAUCAAGAGUGAGCUCAUGGUGACUAAGCUUUUGUGAGUGACCAAUGAGACCUGUGUAAAGCAGCCGAAGUAUCAAAUAAAAUACUGUCCCAGUGACUGGUGCACAGUGACGCUCACAAAA